UUCCCCCGGCGGCGGGGCCGGCGGGCUCGGGCGCGCGCGGCUGAGGGGACGCGGCCGCGGGAGGCGGGUGAGCAGCGCCCAAAGCCGUCGCAGGCCUCAGCCCGCCCCGCAGAAGGGGCAACCCGGCGGGCGGCUCGGUGCGUGUGAAGCGCGACAUGGCGGCGAGGCCGACGAGCCCCGGGGGCCCCGACGUACGGCGAAGGGGGCGGGGCUAGAGCGGCCUUGGCAACCAUUAGAUCGCCUCGGGCUGGGCGGCUUGCAAACUACAUUUCCCAGAGGGCCUCGCGUGCCGCGGGACGGAAGGGGAAGCGCCUCGGGUGCAGUGCGCAGACGCGAGAGCUUCUUCUGGUUAUAUAAGAGCGGUCUGGAUCCCUUUUCGGUCUUUUCCGUCCUCGGCGCUUUCCUCUUGGUGUUCUGUGGCCUUCUGCUGCGUUCGAUGUUGUGCGGGCACGGGAGCCCGGGUUUGCUGCUCUGUGCGGUCUGCGCGAUCACGGGGUACGGAAUGGAUCUCGGAGGAGGGCGUCGCUGCUGGGCCUUCAAGAGAGCCCGCGGUAGAUCCCUAGAGCCAUCGGUCUCCUGAUCCCCGGCAUUUAAUGUUGGCAAGAGACUUGGAGUGGACCAGGAGUGGAAAGGAGUUGGCCUGGAGCCCUGUGAAGCCACAGGGCAGUAAAUAGAUGGCAGCCUGAUGUGCUUGGUUCAGUCUGUCCUGUUACAGGAGUUUCUCAACUUUGUGGAGUUUGGAAUACAAGGCUUCUUGGAAAAGAUUGACUGUAUGCUUACCUGAGAAAGGGUGAUCUUGCUGAAUCUGUCUCCCAAAGCUUUUUUGUAAUCUGAAAUCCUCUAGAUUUCUCUGACCAUUUUGAAGAAUUAAGGAUUAUGGUUAAACUUGGUAAAAUUUUUAAUUUGUAUCUUUCCUAUCUGAAGAAAAUAAAAUUGUUUAAAUAAA
rnacentral:lncRNA from 12 species